rnacentral:tRNA from 1 species
UCCCUGAUGGUCCAGUGGUUAAGACUCUGCUCUUUCACUGCAGGGGGCUCGGGUACAAUCCCUGGUAGGUGAA